CAACAAUAAGCAGCUGCCUGUGAUGUCAUUGGGACUUUGUCCACAGAGCUUGUAUUUACAAGUACAGAGAAACUACUUAACAGCAGAAAAAACAACUACCAGCAAACUUCAUGUCUGCAGUUACUGUAGGACUUCAGUAGUGCUGUGGAUGGGCUAGCAAGCUAACUCUGCUCUUCUAACCACAGAUUUUUAAAGACUCGUGCAGUUUUUCCAAGACUUCAGAUGUCUGCAUGUAUCCGUGCCCACUUUCUGAAAGAAGCCAUGGAUAAACCCAACACACACACUGAUGUCAGCAGGGAGUCUUCAUAAGGAAUUCUACUGUAUAAUUGAUGCUGGAAACAGCCUGAUAUUUCUAGUACAGCAGAAGGAAAACAAAUAACCUCAUCCAUGGAGAGAAAAAGACAGCUACAGAAAAGGGAAUUUGGGAAAAGAUUUUCUCUGGACAGCAGUCUUGUGGAAUAUAUGGACUCAAAUAAAUACAUAGAGCAUUUAGUGACUCAGCUAGAAGAGCAACGUUGGAA